AGAUAGCUCAGUCGGUAGAGCAGGGGACUGAAAAUCCCCGUGUCGGUGGUUCGAUUCCGCCUCUGGGCACCA
rnacentral:tRNA from 2 species